ensembl:lncRNA
GGGGGACAUGAGGACAGGGGGACAUGAGGACAGGGGGACGGGAGGACAGGGGGACGGGAGGACAGGGGGACAGGGGGACAUGGGGACAGGGGGACGGUGCCAUUGCAGGUCAGUGCAGCGCAUGCACCAAAAGGGGACACAGCUCAGGUCAUCCCGCACACACGGCACAGGGCCUGCUCCAGGACGGGUCCUGGCUGGGGAAAGGCUUUGCUCUGGGACAGGUCUUGGUUGGGGACAGGUCCUGAUUGGGAUCGGGUCCUGAUUGGGAUCGGGUUCUGCUUGGG